UGUCAGCUUUCUACGAUAAUUACGAGCCCGCGAAUUAAUACCGCUGAAUCUCAAAAUGGUGAACAGAGAACGAACAUUUUUUGACACUUGAGUGAAUGUGUUCCCGCUUGCAGCGGUAUGUAAAGUUAUAUAUAUAUGACGCCAUGUGACGACUGAAGUCCUAUCUCAGAUCGAAGAUGACAGAGGAUCGUGUAACAUUCUCAAAAGUCAGACGCAUUGCUACCAAUAUCCAACCCAAAAGUGGGAGCUACGAGAUCUUCGUGAGGUUGCAGGAUGAGGGGCAAGGCCCUCAUUCAGCUUCUGGAUGCUUUGGCUGCAACUUGAUUUAAUCCUGCAGACGCCCCUGACAACCCAAAUCAACCCAGCAAAUCCUUGGUAUGUGCUUAUGGUUCUCAUGGCGCCCUCACAUGCCAAAAUAGACAUAAAAUCUUGAUUCUUAGCUCAAAACAGCCUUCACUUCACAAGUCUGCCAGUUGGCUUCAGUCACCCAUCUAAGAAAGACUAAGGUUUUUACACCUUUAAGUCACAAAAUAACCUGGGUUUGACCCCUGACCCUCUUGCUUGAGAAGCAAAGCCAGUACCACUCUAGAGCUAUUGACCCAUUCUAAGGGCUGGCUAUACUGGGCGACAUGUCGAGUGCGACAUAUGUACCGUGUGACAUGUUUCCUAGUUUAGCCAGCUUGAAAAACAAAAGCACGCGACAAAUCUUGUAGCAGCGAAAAACAAAUGUUUCUUGACUAAUUUCUCAUGCACUAUAUGUUUUUGGCGGUGGCUAAACUAGGAAACAUUUAGGAGACACCCUAAAUGUCGCGAUCGAGAUGCACUGGAUAAGUGACCCUUCCAAGUUAAGUGUGUGUUGUCAGCUUCCUCCCACCUUUCGCUAGCUACAGCCUUGCAUACAGUUUCCUAUUAUUGUUUUUGCUUGUUUUUGUGUUACAAACUCUAUCAAAUGUUUUUGUUCUAUCAAAAACGUUGACAUAGCUGAUGUAUAAGCUGUAAAUUUACCUUUCGGUUGCUCCAAUGAUUCGUAGUCUUGUGUCCCGUCUGGACGAUCUAACUCUUGGUAAACUGGCGAUGAAAGCCUCUUACUUGGUAGACCAUCUACGUUUGCAUAGUCGUAGUCGUAGUCUUAAAAGUAAAAAAUAAAAAGAUAGCAAACCAG